CCUACGGGUGGCAGCAGUGAGGAAUAUUGGUCAAUGGCCGUAAGGCUGAACCAGCCAAGUCGCGUGAAGGAUGAAGGUUCUAUGGUUUGUAAACUUCUUUUAUAGGGGAAUAAAGGUAUCCACGUGUGGUUAUUUGCAUGUACCUUAUGAAUAAGCAUCGGCUAACUCCGUGCCAGCAGCCGCGGUAAUACGGAGGAUGCGAGCGUUAUCCGGAUUUAUUGGGUUUAAAGGGUGCGUAGGCGGUUUUUUAAGUCAGCGGUGAAAGUUUGUGGCUCAACCAUAAAAUUGCCGUUGAAACUGGGGGGCUUGAGUAUGUUUGAGGUAGGCGGAAUGCGUGGUGUAGCGGUGAAAUGCAUAGAUAUCACGCAGAACUCCGAUUGCGAAGGCAGCUUACCAAGCCAUAACUGACGCUGAGGCACGAAAGCGUGGGGAUCAAACAGGAUUAGAUACCCGAGUAGUC
rnacentral:rRNA from 1 species